GCCGGGCGUGGUGGCUCACGCCUGUAAUCCCAGCACUUUGGGAGGCUGAGGUGGGUGGAUCACCUGAGGUCAGGAGUUCAAGACCAGCCUGGCCAACAUGGUGAAACCCCAUCUCUA
ensembl:misc_RNA Metazoa_SRP Metazoan signal recognition particle RNA